UUUGACAAGUCGACCGUGUGAUGUCAUAUUCAGGUGUGGUAUUGUGAGUGAUUGUAAGCGCGGCCGAGCGAGGGACGCGCGGGGCGACAGUAGUGGUAAUGAAAUUGGCAUGGCCGACUGAUGGUGUUAGUGAUUCGUGUGAGGAUAUUCGAAAAUCGUUCAGUGAUUGUCGCGAAGGAGCUGCCGAUCGGUUCACGAUCUAAUCGUACAGUGCAAGUGGUAGACGCACAUCGUACGCCUCCCACCGCCGCCCCCGUACCUCAGCGACCCUUAUCUCUGCCAGUUAUCAACGAAAACAAAUGGAAUCUAUGGCUGUAAAGUGUUGAUUGUUGAAAGAUGUGCCACAAGCAAAACAGAUUGUAUGAGGUGCUGCAACCGAGGGACAGGAUGCUACUGCAUCAAUGAGCCAUAUCAUUAUAGUGCAAAAUGUGAUUGGAUGACAUUUUACUCAGCUGCAUAAUUAAAAGCGUGUGCAUCGUUAAAUUAAUUUGUUCUCCAAUAUUACCUAGUUAGUUAGUAUAUUACAAUUGUUAGUGUGAUCUUCAAAGGUUUGCAAUGUCGUUCUUUAAUAAUAUAAAGAAGGCGUUGCACCUGGGCGGCAAUGACGCGAAGAAAAAGAAGGUGUUCAAUAAUGUCCGCAUGGACUGCGAUCCGGCCGAGUUCUGGGAUAUGAUCGGUGAGCUCGGAGAUGGCGCAUAUGGCAAAGUGUACAAAGCCCAGCAUAAGCACACCGGGCAGUUGGCCGCGGCGAAGAUGUGCAGAUUGGACGGCGACGACGAUCUAGCCGAUUUUAUGGUCGAGAUCGAUAUUCUCUCCGAGUGCAAGCAUAUUAACAUCGUCGAACUUCACGAGGCCUUCCAGAAGGAGCAACAACUGUGGAUGCUCAUAGAAUACUGCGACGGAGGCGCUUUAGACAGCAUAAUGACUGAGCUGGAGAAGCCGCUGAACGAGCUGCAAAUUGCGUACGUUUGCCAGAACAUGUGCAAGGGCUUGGAAUUCUUACAUCGAUCGCACAUCAUUCACAGGGAUCUGAAGGCAGGCAAUGUGCUGUUGACGAUGGCCGGCGGGGUCAAGCUCGCUGAUUUCGGAGUUUCGGCGAAGAACAAAUGUACUCUGCAGAAGCACGAUACCUUCAUCGGGACGCCGUACUGGAUGGCUCCGGAAGUCGUCCUUUGCGAAACUUUUCGAGAUAACCCGUAUGAUUUCAAGGUCGACAUAUGGUCGAUGGGCAUAACGCUGAUCGAGUUUGCACAGAUGGAGCCGCCAAACCAUGAGAUGUCUCCAAUGCGAGUCUUGUUGAAGAUUCAAAAAUCAGAUCCGCCGAAAUUGGAACAGCCUUCCAAGUUCUCAAAAGAAUUCAAUGACUUUAUAUCCACCUCUCUGGUGAAAGACCCUCAGAAGAGGCCCACAUGUGAAACUCUACUUAGGCAUCCAUUUAUUAAUCGCACUUUGGAUUCCAAGCCUCUUUGUGAUCUCCUAUUGGAGUAUAGGGCUGAAGUGGUCGAGGAGGAAGUUACCGACGAGGACGCAGAGCGCGGUAGGAAACAGCGCAAAAAUAAAGAAUUGUAUCAGAGGAUUGGCGGCUCCCCGGGCAUGCAUACACAGGACAGCAGAACGUCGCACAUCGAGGAUGAUUGCAAUUCCGUGCAGAGCAAUGAUGUUGACGCUAAAGUUGUUACUGAAGCGUCAACGUCGGCGGCUUCGGCAUCAGCAGCACCUGUACCACCACCACCGCCACCUAAAGAAAGUGCACCAGAGGUGCCACAGGCCCAUACAUCAAAGAUGGCUUUGGCGAAGAAAAAUUCCACUUCCAGUAAUGAAGGCGAUAAAAAGCUGCCGGAAAAACGAGACGAGGUCCACAGGAAGACAUCGCGUGAAAAGGGCCCAGCACCACCUCCACCACCCCUACAGAUUCCUUUGCCUCCAGAGAAAGGACCUGCACCCGCACCGCCGGUGCCGCUGCCAAUACUUCCAACCCCUCCAUCCUCACCUCUGAGUCCACCCGCAACACCGCCUCCAAUACCUCCGCCUGACGAUAAUGCCGCCAAGGAUAUUAUGGAUGUGGCCUUUGAGAAACUGCUAACAGAAGAGAAGAACGUGGAUCUCCCCGAUGCUGUACCUGAGGAAGCAGUAGUAGCAAUUCCGCCGCCGCCUCCACCUCCGAUGUCUUCAACAGCGUCUUCCGUAGUGGUUAACAAUGCUGCAGAUAUGAUAAGCAACAUGGUUGUAGUUUCAACGCAAGCUGACAGCAAUAAGAUGAAUACCUCUACGAUUAUUAUUAACGACGUUGCUGAUCCUUCAAAUAGUUUAGCAUCGAAUAUAAGUCAAGUUACUGUGGUCACUACUCAUCCUCCGGUUUUGGUGGACAACAACGUAUCCUUGUCUCGGUCUUCGCCUAGCAGCUCUGCGAGUACCAGCAACAAUGAAGUAGUAAUCGUUUCAAAUGAAACUAAUAAAACUCGUGUUAACGAGGCAUCCUCGUCUACCACCUCGACGGCGUCUGAAGAUGAGUGUUACCCAUCCCUGGAUUCUCUCGACUACCUCGGACAGACUGAAUAUAGAGAUAAACCACUGAAGAAGUUAGACGAGAGCGAAGUGUUGAUUGUCGACUCGAAUCAUUUGAUUAACGAUUCCGGCUUAGACGUUUCUCCAGAUAAUUCCCGUUUGCUUGAUACUAGCCACGUGAGCGUUGUUCGUAUCGACGAGGAACGGGUUCAGGUUAAAGAUUCUGCAACUUUUAUGUACGACGAUAGAAAUUCCGUGCAGAGGUUGAGCGGUGGCGACAAAAACAGCAGUAACAACACAAGCAGCAGCGGUGUUGAAGAUAAAAAACUAAACGGCGACAAUUACGUGUCCAGUGAGUGCGGUAGCAGUGACCGUGCCAAGUCUGACGUUGAGAGCAUCUCCAUAGCAAGCCACGAUAGUAACAAGGAGAACAAAUCUGAAGGCAACGAGGAAGAGGUAGUGGUUCUAAGAAAAAAGACGCCACACGUUAAGAGCAAGGAAGAGCUGAUGCAGCAUAAUCUCAAUAGGAAGACGCGAAAGCGAACCAGAAAGUUUGUCAUCGAUGGUGUUGUUAUAACAACUACUACGAGCAAAGUGAUUUAUGGCGAUGAGGAUAAUUUUGUCAGUUGUGAUCCUCAUGCGGACCGGAAGCAGGAGUUGCGCGAGUUGAAAUAUCUACAGAAGCAGGAACAAAAGCAGUUCCAAGAAUUGGCGGUUAAAGAGAGUGUAGCCAUCGAGCAACAGGAAAAGAAGUUUGAACAAGAGAGGCUUGCAUUGGAUAAAACCUAUGAGACCGACCUAGACAUGUUGACUCGGCAACAAAAGAUGCAAAUUGAGCGGGCAGAAACUCAACAGGACGCGGAUCUGAGGACGACGUCGAAGAAGAUCCGAGCUGACCAGGAACGGGAUUUGAAGCAAUUCCGGGAGGGUCUGAAACAAGAGGUGAAGCUGCUAAAGGCGGAAAUAGAACGGUUGCAUAAGGAUCAACGCAAAAAUGAGUUUAAACUGAGAAAGGACAAACUGGACGCUGAGCAUUCCGAACGUGAAAAGCUCUUCCUGGAGAAGCUGAAUGAUAAUCACGAGAGCUCUUUGCGGCGAUUGAGCGACUCGCAUCGGGAAAAGAUCGCCCUGAUGGAGCGUCAAUUUUUGCAACAAAAGCAACAGCUUACUAGAACGAGGGAAGCCGCUCUUUGGGAGAUCGAGGAGAAACAGAUACACGAAAAGCAUCAGCUGAUGAAACGACAGCUAAAAGAUAUAUUCUUCUUGCAAAGACACCAGAUGCUUAUCAGGCACGACAAGGAGAUGGAACAAGUAAAGAGACGUGCCAAUAGGAAAGAGGAGGAAUUGGUAAAGACGCAGACGACUGAGCGGCGAUCGCUUCCAAAGCGGAUCAGAGCUGAGAUGAAGGCCCGCGAAUUGAUGUUCCGCGAAUCUAUGCGCAUCAGCAUUACUGGUUCUGGGGAUCCAGAAAUGGAAAAAAAUAAGUUCAAAGAGUUUCAAGAGAAUGAGAAAAAGAGGUACCAGGCUGAACAGAACCGUUUUGAAUUGAAGCAUAAAAGGCAAUUGGAGGAGCUGCGUGCUAUGAGCGAUGCUACUAUUAAGGAGUUAGAGCAGCUCCAGAACGAGAAGAGGAAACUGCUCAUGGAGCACGAGACGCGCAAGUUGAAGGAGCGCGAGGAAGCCUUCAACAAGGAGCUGAAAGAGUGGAAAGCGCAGUUGAAGCCACGUAAACAGCGAUUGGAGGAGCAAUUGUUGCUUGCGCAGAUCAAUAGGUCUCGGGCGUGGUCAAAGGAUGCGGGUGUGGCUGGUCGGGGCGUCGCGGGCGUCCGCGACAUUGACAUGAUAUCGCCGUCCUCGACGCCUUCGACACCCUGCUUCCCCGAGGCACCCCGUCACUCCCUUCUCGGCCACCAUCGGUCCUUCAGCACUGGCGUCGCCGAUAGACGAAGCGUCUUCCUUGCACCCUCCACUUCCGUUGACACUAUUCCUCUCGAAGAUUCCAACGCCUAGCAUCAAAGCUUGACGUUAUUUUCUUUUAAACACUACACAUUUUGUUUUCGUUUUGCGCUUGUACUUUUAUUUUAAUUCUUUCGCUCUCCGAUCUUGUUGAUCUACUUUCAAUCAAGUCUCUCCAUCCCAUCAUAUAUGUCCUAUAAAGCGCUUCAGAACGUCUUCAAAUAUCGCAAUCAUCGCUUUGUACAUUUCAUUUUAAAAUACCCAUAUUUUUAUUUUUAUUUUUGUUUUGUUUUUAUUAUUUUUUUUUGUUUUGUGUCGUUUUUAUCUCAUUUUAUCCUCUUGUCAGAUUCUCCAACAGUACACUACUAAAUGGGAUCUAAUGAUUCAGAGACUCGAAGAGACUUUCACGCAUCAGUUGGAUGAACAGGAGAAGGUGCACGGACC